GAUGAACGCUGGCGGCGUGCUUAACACAUGCAAGUCGAACGAAGCACCUUGAUUUGAUUCUUCGGAUGAAGAUCUUGGUGACUGAGUAGCGGACGGGUGAGUAACGCGUGGGUAACCUGCCUCAUACAGGGGGAUAACAGUUAGAAAUGACUGCUAAUACCGCAUAAGACCACAGUACCGCAUGGUACAGGGGUAAAAACUCCGGUGGUAUGAGAUGGACCCGCGUCUGAUUAGGUAGUUGGUGGGGUAACGGCCUACCAAGCCGACGAUCAGUAGCCGACCUGAGAGGGUGACCGGCCACAUUGGGACUGAGACACGGCCCAAACUCCUACGGGAGGCAGCAGUGGGGAAUAUUGCACAAUGGGGGAAACCCUGAUGCAGCGACGCCGCGUGAGCGAUGAAGUAUUUCGGUAUGUAAAGCUCUAUCAGCAGGGAAGAAAAUGACGGUACCUGACUAAGAAGCACCGGCUAAAUACGUGCCAGCAGCCGCGGUAAGAC
rnacentral:rRNA from 1 species